GAUCGGAUUACGAAUUUUAGCAUCGGAUCGGAUCGGAUUUUAUAAACAUUGUUUCGGAUCGGAUCGGAUUACUUUUUUCAUCUUCGGAUCGGAUUCGGAUUGAGAACUUAGACAAACCAUCGGAUUGAGAGAGGUCAAUCCGAUCCGACGCACACCUCUAGUUAUUAGUGCAUUAGUGCAAAUGUCACAAGAUUUGCAUUAAGCCUAGUUCUCAUUCAUCGCAAACCGUCGGCGAUGGGAGCUUUGCGACGUCGGCGACCGCUUGCCAUUUAUGAAAACACAUCAAAAAUUGUAUCGCCGAUUGUCCGUAAUCGUCGCCGACCAUCGGCGAUGACAUCGCAGGAAACAAAAAAGUUUGUUUCUUGCGACCAUCGCCGACUGCCACCUGCUUGAAAAAUCUAUGAGAAAUGAGUAAAAGUUGUUUUUUCCUCUGCAAGCAAGGAAAUAAUCAAUUGAAGUUUGACAGAAAUAAUGAACUUUCGGUUGAAUGGGCCAUUUUGUAGGAAAUUUGGGAAAUUUCGAAACACAUCGGCUGUCAUCUGCGACGAUCACCGAUGUAUGAGAACUUUCGUGCAUUCGCGCUCGGUGAGUAUCGGCGAUAAGCGUCGCGAUAAGCGUCGUUUGCGAUGAAUGAGAACUAGGCUUUAUCAAGCUAUGUUAUUUUGAUUGGGCAUCGAAGUGUUGAAUCAUUCAGUACAACAAGGUGAUGUAAAUGUCAUUCAGUAAGUUAUUAACUUUGCUUUCUAAACGUGAUUGUAAGCAAGUUUGACUUGAAAUAGCGUUUCAAUUCGGUAUUAGGCAGCAAAAUACCAAAAUGUCGGUAUAUCGGUAUUUUUAAAUUGUCAAUAUCACCAAUACUGGUAUCUAAACAAAUACCGGAUAUAUCCGGUAUAUCGAUCCACUCUAGGCAUAUUGCACUUAAAAUGCACCAAGUCUAACUGUGGAAAGUGUUUUAUGUUUGUGACAAAAUAACAUGCGUCACGGUAUGUUUACAAAUUGGCUUGUGAAUUCCAAUAUGAGCUUCUGAACUUUGCAACGAACUUCGCAACAAAGUUUCCGAACAUUUGUGGUCAAAGUUUUGUGAAAUCGACUGUAAUACUCAGUUGUUGUAGUUAUUGCCAUUGUUUAUCAAAUAUCAUUACAUUUGUAGAAAACGAUCAGCAUAUGACUCUGAUAGCU